UCAGUGGAGUAGUGCUGGGGGACAAACCAAAAGGUCCGUGAUUAUCUGAAUCAGCAGAGUAGUGCUGGGGGACAAACCAAAAGGUCUGUGAUUAUCUGAAUCAGUGGAGUAGUGCUGGGGGACAAACCAAAAGGUCAGUGAUUAUCUGAAUCAGCAGAGUAGUGCUGGGGGACAAACCAAAAGGUCCGUGAUUAUCUGAAUCAGUGGAGUAGUGCUGGGGGACAAACCAAAAGGUCUGUGAUUAUCUGAAUCAGUGGAGUAGUGCUGGGGGACAAACCAAAAGGUCCGUGAUUAUCUGAAUCAGCAGAGUAGUGCUGGGGGACAAACCAAAAGGUCUGUGAUUAUCUGAAUCAGUGGAGUAGUGCUGGGGGACAAACCAAAAGGUCUGUGAUUAUCUGAAUCAGUGGAGUAGUGCUGGGGGACAAACCAAAAGGUCCGUGAUUAUCUGAAUCAGCAGAGUAGUGCUGGGGGACAAACCAAAAGGUCCGUGAUUAUCUGAAUCAGUGGAGUAGUGCUGGGGGACAAACCAAAAGGUCUGUGAUUAUCUGAAUCAGCAGAGUAGUGCUGGGGGACAAACCAAAAGGUCUGUGAUUAUCUGAAUCAGCAGAGUAGUGCUGGGGGACAAACCAAAAGGUCUGUGAUUAUCUGAAUCAGCAGAGUAGUGCUGGGGGACAAACCAAAAGGUCCGUGAUUAUCUGAAUCAGCAGAGUAGUGCUGGGGGACAAACCAAAAGGUCCGUGAUUAUCUGAAUCAGCAGAGUAGUGCUGGGGGACAAACCAAAAGGUCCGUGAUUAUCUGAAUCAGUGGAGUAGUGCUGGGGGACAAACCAAAAGGUCCGUGAUUAUCUGAAUCAGCAGAGUAGUGCUGGGGGACAAACCAAAAGGUCCGUGAUUAUCUGAAUCAGUGGAGUAGUGCUGGGGGACAAACCAAAAGGUCCGUGAUUAUCUGAAUCAGUGGAGUAGUGCUGGGGGACAAACCAAAAGGUCCGUGAUUAUCUGAAUCAGUGGAGUAGUGCUGGGGGACAAACCAAAAGGUCUGUGAUUAUCUGAAUCAGCAGAGUAGUGCUGGGGGACAAACCAAAAGGUCUGUGAUUAUCUG